UACAGCAUCUUUCUCUGCUGGUUUCUGCUCUGCGCUUUUCCGAGCUCAGUGUUGUGAAAAUGUAUACUACAAAGCAGAAGAUUCACAAGGAUAAGGAUGCUGAACCCACUGAAUUUGAAGAGUCAGUGGCACAGGCUUUCUUUGAUCUGGAAAAUACCAACCAGGAACUGAAAAGUGACAUGAAGGAUCUCUACAUCAAUUCAGCAAUCCAAAUCGAUGUUGCUGGGAACCGUAAGGCUGUUGUUAUCCAUGUUCCUUUCAG
rnacentral:misc_RNA from 1 species